rnacentral:rRNA from 1 species
UACGGAGGAUGCAAGCGUUAUCCGGAAUGAUUGGGCGUAAAGCGUCCGCAGGUGGCUGUGUAAGUCUGCUGUUAAAGAGUCUAGCUCAACUAGAUACAAGCAGUGGAAACUACACGGCUAGAGUACGUUCGGGGCAGAGGGAAUUCCUGGUGUAGCGGUGAAAUGCGUAGAGAUCAGGAGGAACACCGGUGGCGAAGGCGGCUUUCUGGGCCUUACCUGACGCUGAGGAGCGAAAGCUGGGGGAGCAAACAGG